CCUACGUGAGGCUGCAGUGAGGAAUAUUGGUCAAUGGGCGAGAGCCUGAACCAGCCAAGUCGCGUGAAGGAUGACUGUCUUAUGGAUUGUAAACUUCUUUUAUACGGGAAUAACAAGAGUCACGUGUGGCUCCCUGCAUGUACCGUAUGAAUAAGCAUCGGCUAACUCCGUGCCAGCAGCCGCGGUAAUACGGAGGAUGCGAGCGUUUUCCGGAUUUAUUUGGUUUAAAGGGUGCUUAGGCGGCCUGUUAAGUCAGCGGUGAAAUCUAGGAGCUUAACUCCUAAAUUGCCAUUGAUACUGGCGGGCUUGAGUGUAGAUGAGGUAGGCGGAAUGCGUGGUGUAGCGGUGGAAUGCAUAGAUAUCACGCAGAACUCCGAUUGCGAAGGCAGCUUACUAAGGUACAACUGACGCUGAAGCACGAAAGCGUGGGUAUCAAACAGGAUUAGAUACCCUGGUAGUC
rnacentral:rRNA from 1 species